UUAAAUUGAAGAGUUUGAUCAUGGCUCAGAUUGAACGCUGGCGGCAGGCCUAACACAUGCAAGUCGAACGGUAACAGGAAGAAGCUUGCUUCUUUGCUGACGAGUGGCGGACGGGUGAGGAAUGUCUGGGAAACUGCCUGAUGGAGGGGG
rnacentral:rRNA from 1 species